ACCACCUGUGCUUCCCAAACUGGGGUCUGCAGACCCCCAAGACAGUAUGCUGGCAGGGGGUGUGGGGCUUGAAAUAACAGAAAAACUAUUAUUAUGUCUUUUUACUUAAAGAGUUCAGUUGGAGAAUGGAGGCAGAGAGAGAAUCAUGUUUCUUUCUUUCUUUUUUUUAAAUUUAGACCUGUUACUUUUGUAGCAAAACAAUCACAUAAGCAUUUCAAAACUGAAAAGAUGAGAUUUCAACAGAACUUCAUGCUUAUGCCAGGAUGCUUCAGAUUAUGUUGUGAACCAGCCUCCCCUACCCACUUCAGGGGUACUUGGAUUUUAAAGUAAAGUGUAACCCUGGAGAUUAUCCUGAGAGGUUUGAACCAUUAUUACAGUGAAAUGGCAAAAACAAGGCCAAUAGGAGGAGAAGGGACUAGCCUGUGCCAACAAGAAUUAUAUGGUAAAAAUAAUGCUUUUAAACUUAUUUACAUAUUUACCUAUUUAUUAG
rnacentral:lncRNA from 13 species